rfam:Picea glauca, whole genome shotgun sequence.
GUUCAAACGAGGAAGGGCUUAUGGUGGAUACCUAGGCACCCAGAGACGAGGAAGGGUGUGGUAAGAGACGACAUGCUUUGGGGAGUUGAAACUGAGCAUAGAUGUGGAGAUUCUCGAAUAGGGUAACCUUUUUAACUGCUUCUUAAUCCAUGGGUAGGCAAGAGACAACCUGGAAAACUGAAACAUCUUAGUAGCUAGAGGAAUAGAAAGAAAAAGUGAUUCCUGUAGUAGCAGCGAGAGAAAUGGGAGCAGCCUAAACCUUGAAAAUGGGGUUUUGGAAGAGAACAAUAUAAGCUUUGUGAUGCUAGGCGAAGCGAUUGAGUCCUGCACCCUAUAUGGUGAGAGUUAAGUAGCCAAAAGAAUCAUUGAGUUAUGCUCUAAUCUGAGUAGCAUGGGGCAUGCAGAAUCCCAUGUGAAUCAACAAGGACCACAUUGCAAGGCUAAAUACUCCUGCGUGAUCGAUAGCGAAGUAGUACCGUGAGGGGAAGGUGAAAAGAACCCCCAUUGGGGAGUGAAAUAGAACAUGAAACCGUAAGCUCCCAAGUAGUGGAAGGAAAAUGAUAUCUCUGGCCAUGUGCAUGUUGAAGAAUGAGCCGACAACUAAUAGGCAGUGGCUUGGUUAAGGGAAUCCAGUGGAUCCGUAGUGAGAGCGAGUCUUCAUGGGGCAAUUGUCACUGCUUAUGGACCCAAACCUAGGUGAUCUAUCCAUGACCAGGAUGAAUCUUUGGUGAAACUAAGUGGAGGUCCGACCCGACUGAUGUUGAAAAAUCAAUGGAUGAGUCGUGGUUAGGGGUGAAAUGCCACUCGAACCCAGAGCUAGUUGGAUCUCCCAAAAAUGCAUUGAGGCGCAACAGUUGACUGGACCAUCUAGAGGUAAAUCAUUGUUUUGGUACUGGCCAUGAGAGAAGUACCAAAUCAAGGAAAACUUUGAAUACUAGAUUGCCCCAAUAAAAGGGGUAAAGGUUAGCCAGUGAGACGAUGGGGGAUAAGGUUCAUCAUUGAGAGGGAAACAACCAGAUCAUCAGCUAAGGCCCCUAAAUGACCAGUCAAUGAUGAAGGAAGUACGAGUGCAAAGACAACGAGGAGAUUUUCCUAGAAGCAACCAACCUUGAAAGAGUGCGUAAUAGAUCAUUGAUCAAGUGCUCUUGGGCCAAAUAUGAAUGGGACUAAGCAAUCUGUCGAAGCUGUGGGAUGUAAAAAUACAUCAGUAGGGGAGCAUUCCGCCUCAGAGGGAAGCAUUGGUGCAAGCAGGUGUGGACAAAGUGGAAGCGAGAAUGCCAACUUGAGUAACGCCAACAUUGGUGAGAAUCCAAUGCCCUGAAAACCUAAGGUUUCCUCUGCAAGGUUCAUCCACGAAGGGUGAGUCGGGGCUUAAGAUCAGGUCAAAAGGCAUAGUCAAUGGAUAACAGGUAAAUAUUCCUGUACUACCUCUUGUUGGUCCCGAGGGAAGAAGAAGGGUAGGUUAGCCGAAAUAUGGUUAUCGGUUCAAGGACGCAAGGUGACCCUCUAUACAUUGAUUCAAAGGUAAAACAAGAAUCAAAUAUCGGUGUGUACAA